CCGGUUUCCACAGAGUCUGGCUCACAUUCAGAAAAGAACUCCGAGCAAAGGAAAUUAAGUAUAACCUGCAGGGUAACACAGAGUUACCAGCAGCAACAAUAAACAUUGACUGAGUUUCCAUGGCCCAUGGGGAACUCUUGUGACAGCUCUUCUGGGGACUUUAAGGUAUGGCGGCCACCGGUAAGAAGCCCCACUCUGCGGAAACUCAUACUCUCAAUCUGUCUCAAUCUGCCAGAUAUUUCUACAAUAAAAGAGCAGGAAGAAAAAGGAAAACAUCUCUUUGCUAAACUUCAGGCACGGCUCUGUACAACCAAGAUGUGCCCAACAGAAGCUGGUGGAACCAAAGAAGUGGGAAAUGUCCACCAUAAGCCACCAACCACAAGCUUUCCUGGUUCCACGAGAAAGAACUGACUUCCAACAACAGCCGUGUCACGUGUAACAACUGGUGGACCCUAUCAUCACAGCCACAAGUACUCUUACUUUUGUUCUCUUCUCUUCCCCCCCCCACCACCACUUUAGCCUUCUCCGGUUUCCGGUCUUGUCUCUAUGAAAAGAAAACGUUGCCUAUGAGCUUUUAGGCUCAACAAGAAAACAGUACAAGCGAAUUGUGAGAGCUCUUCCUUCUGCCUCUUUGGGGUCGGCAUCAAAGAUGAAAGCCUGUUUGUUCUCCUCCCUGCCCUAAAGAGGAGCAUGAAGGGGCCUGUUGUGAAGAAUCCUCCGGUCCAAAGCCUCCUUGGUAGCAGCAACUUCUGCUACCUCCACCCCCAUCCCCCCACCUCAUUCCCCCCUCCAGUAAGCACCGGCUCCGAGCUUUCUCCUGCCUCUGUCCCUCCACACUCCUCUUCAUCUCCUCUGAGGUCAGCAACAUAUUUAAAGCUCAUCCCGUUCCCAUCAGUAAGAUUUAGUUUAAUGGGAGGCUCACCGAAGGGAAAUUCCAGACGCUUUUCUUCUGGGAAAGCAUUCGCUGUUUUCCAGAUCCAAAUCCUUUAACCUAACAUUUCUGGUAACAUUUGAAAGUUCCUGGCUUUGCUGAAACAAAGCCACACACAUCUGGAGUAUCCUUAUACAUCAACAUAUCGGGUUCUCUUUUUCUCUCCCUUUUAUGGGAUGAAGGUUUGUUUUGUUUUGUUUUGUUUUUCUCCCUCAACUCUUUAAUAAAGUCUUACCAAUUUGAAUUCUCAUGCAAAACAAACAAAAACAAAAGCAAAAAAAAAAAAAAAAACCCUACCAAGUCUAAAGCAAGUUCAUCUACCAACCAUGAUCUCAAUGCACUUCCACUGGCUGCCUGUCCCAGUGAACUUGAACGGCUCGACAGUGUCCCCUGGUGGCUGUGAGCACAGACACAGGACACUUGAGUGACAACCUCAAAAUGAGACAAAUGAAGUUAAAAUACCUAUCAAAGGCUGUCCUUUGACUUACACAUGUAUCCCAAGGUCAGCCCCCUCCUGCUCCACACACAGAAAAUAGAAGUAAUAAAGUGUAACCGAAAUAUUUUUAAAGUGGUAAAAUCCACCCAAGUAUGAUAGGGACCAGAAAAUAGGAGACGGAACAGCUACUCUGCUGUAUAAACUUUCCAUUGAACAUCACUCGUCUCCUGCACAAAAUACUCAGAAUUUCUCUUGAUACAAAAAUCUAACUCCUCAGCGUCAAUUACCCCCUGGCUAUUAUUCAACAAAUAUGGAUUUAUUGUGUAAAGUGUCAUUGGCAUUUGCUGAGGAAUUCAAUAUAGAAAUAAAGGAAAAAAGAAACUUUGCUUUCAAAAAA